rnacentral:rRNA from 1 species
AUUGACGGGGCCGCACAAGCGGUGGAGCAUGUGGUUUAAUUCGAAGCAACGCGAAGAACCUUACCAGGUCUUGACAUCCCGAUGCUAUUUCUAGAGAUAGAAAGUUACUUCGGUACAUCGGUGACAGGUGGUGCAUGGUUGUCGUCAGCUCGUGUCGUGAGAUGUUGGGUUAAGUCCCGCAACGAGCGCAACCCCCGCCGUUAGUUGCCAGCGGUUCGGCCGGGCACUCUAACGGGACUGCCCGCGAAAGCGGGAGGAAGGAGGGGACGACGUCUGGUCAGCAUGGCCCUUACGGCCUGGGCGACACACGUGCUACAAUGCCCACUACAAAGCGAUGCCACCCGGCAACGGGGAGCUAAUCGCAAAAAGGUGGGCCCAGUUCGGAUUGGGGUCUGCAACCCGACCCCAUGAAGCCGGAAUCGCUAGUAAUCGCGGAUCAGCCAUGCCGCGGUGAAUACGUUCCCGGGCCUU